CGUUGAAACACCGGUUCUCGUACGAUCACCGAAGUUAAGCAACGUGAAGUUUGAUCACUACCAAGAUGGGUGACUGCUUGGGAAUGUAAGCUGCUGUAAG